rnacentral:rRNA from 1 species
AUUGAACGCUGGCGGCAGGCUUAACACAUGCAAGUCGAGCGGAGAUGAGGUGCUUGCACCUUAUCUUAGCGGCGGACGGGUGAGUAAUGCUUAGGAAUCUGCCUAUUAGUGGGGGACAACAUUCCGAAAGGAAUGCUAAUACCGCAUACGUCCUACGGGAGAAAGCAGGGGAUCUUCGGACCUUGCGCUAAUAGAUGAGCCUAAGUCGGAUUAGCUAGUUGGGGGGGUAAAGGCCUACCAAGGCGACGAUCUGUAGCGGGUCUGAGAGGAUAAUCCGCCACACUGGGACUGAGACACGGCCCAGACUCCUACAGGAGGCAGCAGUGGGGAAUAUUGGACAAUGGGGGGAACCCUGAUCCAGCCAUGCCGCGUGUGUGAAGAAGGCCUUAUGGUUGUAAAGCACUUUAAGCGAGGAGGAGGCUACUGAGACUAAUACUCUUGGAUAGUGGACGUUACUCGCAGAAUAAGCACCGGCUAACUCUGUGCCAGCCGCCGCCGUAAGAC